GCUUAGCCCUAAACUUAGAUAUUUCAUAUACAAAAAUAUUCGCCAGAGAACUACGAGCAAAACGCUUAAAACUCUAAGGACUUGGCGGUACCUCAAACCCCCCUAGAGGAGCCUGUUCUAUAAUCGAUAAUCCACGAUCUACCUCACCAUCUCUUGCCAAGCCCGCUUAUAUACCACCGUCACCAGCCUACCCCAUGAGGGUUACAAAAGUAAGCAAAAUAACCUAAACAAUUAACAAGUCAGGUCAAGGUGUAGCUAAUUGAGAUGGAAGAAAUGGGCUACAUUUUCUACUUUAGAAAUAAUCACGGAAGGAGACCAUGAAAUAGGUCCCACAAGCAGGAUUUAGCAGUAAACUGGAAGCAGAGAGUCCAAUUUAAGCCGGUCCUGAGGUGCGC
rnacentral:rRNA from 1 species